rnacentral:rRNA from 1 species
GGAUGCGAUCAUACCAGCACUAAAGCACAGGAUCCCAUUAGAACUCCGAAGUUAAGCGUGCUUGGGCGAGGGUAGUACUAGGAUGGGUGACCUCCUGGGAAGUCCUCGUGUUGCAUUCC